rnacentral:rRNA from 1 species
UACGUAGGGGGCAAGCGUUGUCCGGAAUCAUUGGGCGUAAAGAGCUCGUAGGCGGUUUGUUGCGUCGGCUGUGAAAUCCCGAGGCUCAACCUCGGGUCUGCAGUCGAUACGAGCAAACUAGAGUGUUGCAGGGGAGACUGGAAUUCCUGGUGUAGCGGUGAAAUGCGCAGAUAUCAGGAGGAACACCGGUGGCGAAGGCGGGUCUCUGGGCAACUACUGACGCUGGAGGAGCGAAAGCGUGGGGAGCGAACAGG